AGGUAGGCAGUGGUUGCCGACCUCUCGUAUUAUAUUGGUUACUUACAAUAAGUAUAUUAUUUCCGUACAA
rnacentral:rRNA from 1 species